rnacentral:rRNA from 1 species
GACGAACGCUGGCGGCGUGCCUAAUACAUGCAAGUUGAGCGAUGAAGAUUGGUGCUUGCACCAAUUUGAAGAGCAGCGAACGGGUGAGUAACGCGUGGGGAAUCUGCCUUUGAGCGGGGGACAACAUUUGGAAACGAAUGCUAAUACCGCAUAACAACUUUAAACAUAAGUUUUAAGUUUGAAAGAUGCAAUUGCAUCACUCAAAGAUGAUCCCGCGUUGUAUUAGCUAGUUGGUGAGGUAAAGGCUCACCAAGGCGAUGAUACAUAGCCGACCUGAGAGGGUGAUCGGCCACAUUGGGACUGGGACACGGCCCAAACCCCUACGGGAGGCAGCAGUAGGGAAUCUUCGGCAAUGGACGAAAGUCUGACCGAGCAACGCCGCGUGAGUGAAGAAGGUUUUCGGAUCGUAAAACUCUGUUGGUAGAGAAGAACGUUGGUGAGAGUGGAAAGCUCAUCAAGUGACGGUAACUACCCAGAAAGGGACGGCUAACUACGUG